CUCUGAUAACUCUACCCUAGUGAGCAUUUCAUCAAACAAAUCAACAUAGUCUUGGACAGAUGAUACCUAAUGGAGAUCCUUCAAAUCACACAUUGGAUCAUCAUACAAUUCUAUGCCAAAUCCAGCAUACAGGCUGCUUAUGUACUCCCCCAAACUUGGCCAUUCAUGAGUGAGUUUACUCUUCAUGAAAACCUAAUGCCACUGGAGUGCAUUACAUUCCAAUUUGCAGAAAGCUAAUUUUACCCUAGCCCUAGGUGGUGUUUCAUCCACUUCAAAAAAUUGUUCGCACUUGUAAAUCCAAUCCCUCAUCCCCGAUCCAUAAAUUUUUUUGGAAUUCUACUUAAUAAGCCCUAGUUACUUGUUAGUAACUGAUACUUUUCCUAUCUUCUUUUUCCUUCGUUAUCAACCCCUCUUUCUUCAUAGGACCUUCUCCAGGAACUCCCGGUGCUCUAUUUUCCAUACCCAUGAUCAAUCACUUGAUCUCAUCCACUGCGCGCACAACUUUUUCAUCAAUGGGUCUCCCCAAUUCAUCAACAGAACCUGUUAUUCCUUUCAGUUACCCUCAGAGGCCAUCCACAUCCUUACGCAAUUCACUAAUUCUCGUAUUAUUCUCUCUUAUAGUAUCUUUCACAGGCCCGAGAAUGGACUGACUCUGAUACCAAUGAUACAAUCCCAAAAUUUAAAAAGAAAAAAGAAAAGGAAAAAUACUCUAAGGAACUAGAGUAAUAGUCCCUAAACAUAUAUUCCCAAGAAAAGAAGAGAAUUUAGCAGAGAAAAAGUAAACUUGACUUGUUCAUUCAUCCAAAAGACCGAUUACAAAAUGAUAGCAGGAUACAACUAUAUGUGGAAGUCAGAUACAGAGAUUUGGCGGGAAAAUCAAUUGGAAGUUAAAACAACCAACUCGACUAAUUUCCAGAGCCAAUCAUGUGACCCUCACAUGUUUUUAACUAAUUUUUCUUAUUAACUAUUGAUCCUAAUUAACAACUAUUAUCAUUAAUUGUCUUUAAUUUAGGAUCAUAUCACAAUAGCAGUGGUGUCUACAGAGCUUAGUCAGUGAGUUAUCAUCUUUUUUCGAUAAAAAAUUCAUCCAAAAAAGUUCAGAACAAAAUGGGUUCCAUAGCUUAGAUGCAUUUUCAGAAGGAGGGGUGGGUUUGGGUGGUUGGUUUUUGGAGUUUUGGGUGAGUUUGGUCGAUUUUCCGGUGGGACUAUUUGGUUAAUUUUUUAGUGGGGUUGUCAGUUGCUGGUGGAUUGUGGAGGUGGAGCUGGUGGGUUUUGGUCAAAAUAAAUGGGAAGGGAGCUGGUGGUUUGUCAAUGGGGAGGGAGAUUUUCGAUGAGAAUUCACUGAAAAAUUCAGAACAAAGAGUCAUUAUUGCUAGUUUCUUUUUUGGGUCUUUCUUUCCUCUUUCUUUUCUUCAGUCACUAUGUAUAUAGUCGUGUAUGUGUAUAUAUCUAUAAGGAAAACAACGUGUGUUUUUUCUUCAAUCCCUAUGU
rnacentral:lncRNA from 1 species